GAAAGAGGAAGGUGGAGGAAGAAGAAGGGGACAGAGGAAGGUGAAGGAAGAAGGGGAAAGAGGAAGGUGAAGGAAGAGGAAGGGGAAAGAGGAAGGUGAAGGAAGAAGAAGGGGAAAGAGGAAGGUGAAGGAAGAGGAAGGGGAAAGAGGAAGGUGAAGGAAGAGGAAGGGGAAAGAGGAAGGUGAAGGAAGAGGAAGGGGAAAGAGGAAGGUGAAGGAAGAGGAAGGGGAAAGAGGAAGGUGAAGGAAGAGGAAGGGGAAAGAGGAAGGUGAAGGAAGAGGAAGGGGAAAGAGGAAGGUGAAGGAAGAGGAAGGGGAAAGAGGAAGGUGAAGGAAGAGGAAGGGGAAAGAGGAA